rnacentral:rRNA from 1 species
GUGGGGAAUUUUGGACAAUGGGGGCAACCCUGAUCCAGCAAUGCCGCGUGCAGGAAGAAGGCCUUCGGGUUGUAAACUGCUUUUGUACGGAACGAAACGGUCCUGGUUAAUACCUGGGGCUAAUGACGGUACCGUAAGAAUAAGCACCGGCUAACUACGUGCCAGCAGCCGCGGUAAUACGUAGGGUGCAAGCGUUAAUCGGAAUUACUGGGCGUAAAGCGUGCGCAGGCGGUUUUGUAAGACAGGCGUGAAAUCCCCGGGCUCAACCUGGGGAUGGCGCUUGUGACUGCAAGGCUGGAGUGCGGCAGAGGGGGAUGGAAUUCCGCGUGUAGCAGUGAAAUGCGUAGAUAUGCGGAGGAACACCGAUGGCGAAGGCAAUCCCCUGGGCCUGCACUGACGCUCAUGCACGAAAGCGUAGGGAGCAAACAGGAUUAGAUACCCGUGUAGUCC